rnacentral:rRNA from 1 species
CCUACGGGCUGCAGCAGCGGGGAAUAUUGCACAAUGGGCGCAAGCCUGAUGCAGCCAUGCCGCGUGUAUGAAGGAGGCCCUAGGGUUGUAAAGUACUUUCAGUCGGGAGGAAGGCGUUGAUGCUAAUAUCAUCAGCGAUUGACGUUACCGUCAGAAGAAGCACCGGCUAACUCCGUGCCAGCAGCCGCGGUAAUACGGAGGGUGCAAGCGUUAAUCGGAAUUACUGGGCGUAAAGCGCACGCAGGCGGUUGAUUAAGUUAGAUGUGAAAUCCCCGGGCUUAACCUGGGAAUGGCAUCUAAGACUGGUCAGCUAGAGUCUUGUAGAGGGGGGUAGAAUUCCAUGUGUAGCGGUGAAAUGCGUAGAGGCGUGGAGGAAUACCGGUGGCGAAGGCGGCCCCCUGGACAAAGACUGACGCUCAGGUGCGAAAGCGUGGGGAGCAAACAGGAUUAGAUACCCCUGUAGUC